rnacentral:rRNA from 1 species
UACGUAGGGGGCUAGCGUUGUCCGGAAUCAUUGGGCGUAAAGCGCGCGUAGGCGGCCCGGUAAGUCCGCUGUAAAAGUCAAAGGCUCAACCUUUGAAAUGUCAGUGGAUACUGCCGGGCUAGAGUCCGGAAGAGGCGAGUGGAACUCCUGGUGUAGCGGUGGAAUGCGCAGAUAUCAGGAAGAACACCGACGGCGAAGGCAGCUCGCUGGGACGGUACUGACGCUGAGGCGCGAAAGCGUGGGGAGCGAACAGG